rnacentral:rRNA from 1 species
GAUGAACGCUGGCGGCGUGCCUAAUACAUGCAAGUCGAGCGAACAGACGAGGAGCUUGCUCCUCUGACGUUAGCGGCGGACGGGUGAGUAACACGUGGAUAACCUACCUAUAAGACUGGGAUAACUUCGUGAAACCGGAGCUAAUACCGGAUAAUAUAUUGAACCGCAUGGUUCAAUAGUGAAAGACGGUUUUGCUGUCACUUAUAGAUGGAUCCGCGCCGCAUUAGCUAGUUGGUAAGGUAACGGCUUACCAAGGCAACGAUGCGUAGCCGACCUGAGAGGGUGAUCGGCCACACUGGAACUGAGACACGGUCCAGACUCCUACGGGAGGCAGCAGUAGGGAAUCUUCCGCAAUGGGCGAAAGCCUGACGGAGCAACGCCGCGUGAGUGAUGAAGGUCUUCGGAUUGUAAAACUCUGUUAUUAGGGAAGAACAAAUGUGUAAGUAACUAUGCACGUCUUGACGGUACCUAAUCAGAAAGCCACGGCUAACUACGUG